rnacentral:lncRNA from 1 species
GCGAAGCGCCAUGGUGGGGCAGUCCCAACAGCAGCCACCACAGCAGCAGCCCUCCCCGCAGCCCCAACAGCAGGUCCAGCCACCGCAGCCACAGAUGGCAGGCCCUCUGGUCACUCAGUCUGUCCAGGGGCUGCAGGCUUCCUCCCAGUCAGUGCAAUAUCCAGCAGUCUCUUUUCCUCCCCAGCACCUCCUACCUGUGUCUCCAACGCAGCACUUUCCCAUGAGAGAUGAUGUGGCAACACAGUUUGGCCAGAUGACCCUGAGCCGGCAGUCCUCGGGGGAGACUCCUGAACCCCCAUCAGGUCCUGUCUACCCAUCCUCCCUUAUGCCACAGCCGGCCCAGCAGCCCAGCUAUGUAAUCGCCUCUACAGGCCAGCAGCUUCCUACAGGAGGAUUCUCAGGCUCUGGCCCUCCCAUCUCCCAGCAGGUCCUCCAGCCCCCUCCCUCACCACAGGGAUUUGUGCAACAGCCUCCGCCUGCACAGAUGCCUGUAUAUUAUUACCCAUCUGGUCAGUACCCUACCUCAACCACGCAACAGUACCGGCCCAUGGCCCCGGUUCAGUACAACGCUCAGAGGAGUCAACAGAUGCCACAGGCAGCACAGCAAGCAGUUGCAGUGACAGGUGGAUUUCUACAGACUGAAUCUGUGGCCAUAGUACUUAUUUCAAGAUAAUUGGCCAAGGCUAGGUUACAUCCUGUAGCCAUGCAACAGUGACAGUAAUUUGAUCACAAUAAUGCUGACCCCAUGACUUUUGACUUCAUAAUUAUCUUGCUGUAGUCAGCUGGCCAACAGCACUUCAUCAAUGAAAAUAUCCACCAGGAGGAAUAUUAUCAUGGGGACAGUUAUUAGAGCCACCUCCAUUUUGACUUUGCCCCAAGCUUGGUCUGGGGAAAAAGCUUCUUAAAGUUGCCUCAGCAGUAGUUUGCUGCCUCCCAGCCUGGUUUUAAGUAUAUCCAUAAUUAACACGACGGGUAGAGGUGCAAGAAUGCCACAUUUUCUUCUAAGCCAUGCAACCUCAUUAAGAAAGUAAAACGUUUGUGAGUCUUUCAUGCGGUCUUUCUCCCUCUGGGUUGUUGAAGCUCUCUGGAUGUCAGCACAGCACUAUGGGCCAGGAAAGUUCAGAGAAUUACUUCAAUAAUAUGACAGCCUCUUCCAUUUAAAAUGGAAUUCAAUGCUGGCUUCCCUUGGAGGCAUUCAUUGAAAUUCCGUGCAUGAUCCAUUCCUCUAGUCAUUUAACAAUGUGUCUCAUGUUUGCCCUGAUUUAAAGAAAGAAAGAAAGAAAGAAAGAAAGAAAACCAGCUUUGUAUUUGUGAUAACAUGGAUCAGGAUAGUAUAAUUGCAGUGAAGAGGCCCCUGAGCCUGCAGUAAUAGGAUGGUUCAUCUGAUGUGUACUGCCAUUAGAAAAUGACCCAUGCAUGAAUGUUCUCAGGGGACAGUAAAGAGGCUUUUAAGAAUUACAUUCUGUGUAGUAUGAAAGCUAAUGAGC